CAGCUGCGAGAUUUGGUGUGAAUUGCAGGACACAUUGAGCACUGAUUUUUCGAACGCACAUUGCGGCCUCGGGUUCCGCCCGGGGCCUCGCCUGUCUGAGGGUCGGAUAAGACUUGCAAAGGAAAGACCUCUUUCCAAUUGGCCGCGUCGGAGUGCCUGCGAAGGGACUUCGUCGGCUCAAGUGCGCACAGGAUCCUCCCCGGUCGAGAGAGCACAAGCCCUAGAGCAAUGCUCGUCGCUCGGAGAAGACGGACCACGUUUCUCCACCGAAGACGAGACGGUUUGUCGCUGAGAAGACCGAUGAGUGGGGAGAGAGAACCUGCAGGAGACGCCCGUCUCCUCUGCUCUUUUAACUUUGACGACCUCAGAUCAGACGAGAUCACCCGCUGAAUUUAA
rnacentral:rRNA from 1 species